CCGCACAUCCAUCCUCGCUAUCAUUUUUGAAUAUGUCGGCAAACAAUGAUCAGGCAAUCGCCGAUCUUUUUGCCAGCAAAGCUACCCGGGUCAUAUGUAUCCAUAUAGUUUACCAAGGUCGAAUGGCAUUUUCUGUCCUUUGUUUAAUGAAGGCUCCUUACUUCAUGAACUUCAAUUAGUUAAGCCGGUAUUCUCACCGGGCCCUGACGGAGUUCCCGGCUGUGUACUCAGGUACUGUGCCGAGUCUCUCUGCGGACCUUUGCUUAAACUAUUCACUCUAUCUAUCCAUUCUU
rnacentral:lncRNA from 1 species